rnacentral:lncRNA from 1 species
GUUGUGAUUGUGAUGAUCAAACUUGAGAAACAGAAAUCCGACCGUCAGAUCUGACCAUCAUGAUAAAAUACAUGUAUGGGAAAAAAUUCAACUUGAUCCGAAAAGAAUAAGGGCUCGAUCCGGACGGUUAAUCUCGUAAGUCAAACCCCUAAACGCAUGGAAAAGGUCGUUCGACCGUCUAAAUUACGUAUUUUGGCCGGACCUCCAACUGAAAAUAGUUUUAAACCGAUGACACGCAACAAGUCGUAUAAAAAUUUUACGCAAAAUAACAACCGAAUAUAGGGCUAUAGUAGGUAAUAGAAAAAUUUUAGGGUUUAGCCGACGAAUACCCUAACGUAUUCGUCGGCUAUAGUAUGUAAUUAAAAAAUUAAAAAAUAACUAUAGCCGACGUAAUAUUAGGUUAUUCGUCGGCAAAAACCAUCUUAGCCGACGAAAUAUGGUGUAUUUCGUCGGCUAAAGGAAAAAAAUACAUUAAAAAAAACAUACGAUAUUAGUAAACCAUACUAACUUCCUGUUCAUCAUGUAUCACCAAAAUUCAUAUAAAAAAACUGAAAUAUGAAUUCAACAUGUGUAAACUAUAAAGGAAAAGGUCUUUAGUUAUACAAAUUAAUGGAUUUCGUCCUCUAAAUUAAAACUAAGGCUCGUAAUCGGAAUCAUCCGAUGAGUCUUCUUCGGUGUCAGAAUUAAUUUCUGGUAAUAUAUGUCUUUCCUCAUCGCCAGAGACUUCGUCUGUUUCUUGAUUUGGAUCAACAUCACUAAGCCUUGGCUCUUCAUCACGAAUUCGCACCGAACGACCCGCUUUAAAAUUAUUAAGGCGAACGGUAGAGGAGUUAGGAAUACCUAUUGCGUUGGGCUCUUGAUACGCAACAUCCUCUUCCUCGUCUUCGGCCUCUCCAAGUGUAGCCGCCCGGUAAAUGUUUCGAGGGUGCACAAGGUUGACUACGUUUCACGCGUCACCCUUAGCAAGGUCAUCAAGAUAAAACACUUGUUUUACCGAUGUGGCAAAAACGAACGGGUCAUCUUCGUAAGAACUUGUAGCAGUGUUCACCGAUAAUAU